CAGUCGCCGCGGGAAUACGGAGGAUCCAAGCGUUAUCCGGAAUCAUUGGGUUUAAAGGGUCCGUAGGCGGUCUUGUAAGUCAGUGGUGAAAGCCCAUCGCUCAACGGUGGAACGGCCAUUGAUACUGCAGGACUUGAAUUAUUGGGAAGUAACUAGAAUAUGUAGUGUAGCGGUGAAAUGCUUAGAGAUUACAUGGAAUACCAAUUGCGAAGGCAGGUUACUACCAAUUGAUUGACGCUGAUGGACGAAAGCGUGGGUAGCGAACAGGAUUAGAUACCCCGGUAGUCCCUGUCUCUUAUAU
rnacentral:rRNA from 1 species